rnacentral:rRNA from 1 species
UACGUAGGGGGCGAGCGUUAUCCGGAAUUACUGGGUGUAAAGGGUGCGUAGGCGGCUAUGCAAGUCAGAUGUGAAAACUCAGGGCUCAACCUUGAGGCUGCAUCUGAAACUGCGUAGCUAGAGUGUGGGAGAGGAAAGUGGAAUUCCGAGUGUAGCGGUGAAAUGCGUAGAGAUUCGGAGGAACACCAGUAGCGAAGGCGGCUUUCUGGACCAUAACUGACGCUGAGGCACGAAAGCGUGGGGAGCAAACAGGAUUAGAUACCCUGGUAGUCCACGCUGUAAACGAUGAAUGCUAGGUGUUGGGGGCGACAGCUUUCAGUGCCGAAGUUAACACAUUAAGCAUUCCACCUGGGAAGUACGAUCGCAAGAUUGAA